GCCAGGGGUGGACGCACAUGCUCGGCUCAGCUCCACAGUGGGUUCCGAGGGACGUAUUGGCUACAGGGAAGGUGUGGCACAGGUCUCUGAUUCACUCAGGAAUGCAUUUUGUCAGAGAGAUAUGAGGAAAGGAUAAAAGAGCAGAGAUGUUUAAUAAAUUGAUAAAAAUUGAAAUGGCGAAGCAUUGCCCCAGUUGGGAAGGAAGGAAGGAGGCUGAUUAAUGGUCGUAUCGAAGAAAAAGUGUUCUGUGGCAAGAGAUUAUGAAGAAUGAACAAACUGAAAAGGGCAAAGUUCAUGGUUACAGAGCGGAGUGUCACAGAACAGCCCCAAGGAAGGCCGGGGAGUCGGUGCUCAGGGAGGAAGGAGGUACCGUGUCACGGAGCCUGGUGCCCAGACACUGAGAGCCCAGGCUCGGGCUGAGAUCACCUCCCGACCUUGCAUCGUAAAGGUAUGGUGUCUAAUAAUGAGAUCCCUGGCUCUCUGGAGACCGAGACUCCCCGCCUGCUCCUGCCUCCUGGGACCUAACAUUCCAGCACUGGCCACUGGUCUGAUUGAUCAGCGCUCCGGGUCCCGCAGAAUGGAGAACUCAGAGUCUUUGCUGUACGUCUCUGUUCCCUUCAUCACGCUGCUUGCUAGUUCUAGUUAUACCCCGUGUCUCUUCACUGCCAUUGGAAAAUAAGGUACCAAGAGGACGGAGC